rnacentral:tRNA from 1 species
GGGGGUAUGGCGGAAUUGGUAUACGCUACGGACUUAAAAUCCGUUGGUUUUAAGCCAUGAGGGUUCGAUCCCCUCUACCCCCA